rnacentral:rRNA from 1 species
ACGAACGCUGGCGGCGUGCCUAAUACAUGCAAGUUGAGCGCUGAAGGUUGGUACUUGUACCAACUGGAUGAGCAGCGAACGGGUGAGUAACGCGUGGGGAAUCUGCCUUUGAGCGGGGGACAACAUUUGGAAACGAAUGCUAAUACCGCAUAAAAACUUUAAACACAAGUUUUAAGUUUGAAAGAUGCAAUUGCAUCACUCAAAGAUGAUCCCGCGUUGUAUUAGCUAGUUGGUGAGGUAAAGGCUCACCAAGGCGAUGAUACAUAGCCGACCUGAGAGGGUGAUCGGCCACAUUGGGACUGAGACACGGCCCAAACGCCUACGGGAGGCAGCAGUAGGGAAUCUUCGGCAAUGGACGAAAGUCUGACCGAGCAACGCCGCGUGAGUGAAGAAGGUUUUCGGAUCGUAAAACUCUGUUGGUAGAGAAGAACGUUGGUGAGAGUGGAAAGCUCAUCAAGUGACGGUAACUACCCAGAAAGGGACGGCUAACUACGUG